rnacentral:rRNA from 1 species
UACGAAGGUGUCGAGCGUUGUCCGGAAUAACUGGGCGUAAAGGGCGCGUAGGCGGUCGGGUAAGUGAGAUGUGAAAGCUCUGGGCUCAACCCAGGAAUUGCAUUUCAUACUGCUCGACUUGAGUUCGGUAGAGGAGGGCGGAAUUCCAGGUGUAGCGGUGAAAUGCGUAGAUAUCUGGAGGAACACCCGUGGCGAAGGCGGCUCUCUGGGACGGUACUGACGCUGAGACGCGAAAGCGUGGGGAGCGAACAGG